UUCCGGUGAUCCUGCCGGACCUGACUGCUAUCGGAUUGGUACUAAGCCAUGUGAGUCAUUGUAGCAAUACAAGGCAGACGGCUCAGUAACACGUAGUCAAUCUACCCUAUGGACGGGAAUAACCUCGGGAAACUGAGGAUAAAACCCGAUAGAUCAUAGUGCCUGGAACGGCUUAUGGUCCAAAUGAUUCGUCGCCGUAGGAUGGGACUGCGGCCUAUCAGCUUGUUGGUGAGGUAAUGGCCCACCAAGGCUAUUACAGGUACGGGCUCUGAGAGGAGAAGCCCGGAGAUGGGUACUGAGACACGGACCCAGGCCCUAUGGGGCGCAGCAGGCGAGAAACCUUUGCAAUGUGCGCAAGCACGACAAGGUUAAUCCGAGUGUUUCCUGCUAAAGGAAUCUUUUGUUAGUUUUAAAACCACUAGUGAAUAAGGGGUGGGCAAGUUCUGGUGUCAGCCGCCGCGGUAAAACCAGCACCUCAAGUGGUCAGGAGGAUUAUCGGGCCUAAAGCAUCCGUAGCCUGUUCUGUAAGUUUCCGGUUAAAUCCAUUAGCUUAACUAAUGGGCUGCCGAAAAUACUGCAGAACUAGGGAGUGGGAGAGGUAGACGGUACUCGGUAGGAAGGGGUAAAAUCCUUUGAUCUAUUGAUGACCACCUGUGGCGAGGGCGGUCUACCAGAACACGUUCGACGGUGAGGGAUGAAAGCUGGGGGAGCAAACCGGAUUAGAUACCCGGGUAGUCUCAGCUGU
rnacentral:rRNA from 1 species